AUAUGCCGACAUAUGCAGAACACAUUGGAAUAAUAGAGAGAAGAUAAGCGUGGCUAUGCGCAAGGAUAACAUGCAAACUCCUGAAGCGUUCCAAACUUUU
rnacentral:snRNA from 1 species